UUACUGAGGAGGAUGGUCCUCCCCUUCCUCCUAUGAGGAGCCUCCACUGGUGUCGAGGAAAUCAUGCGUGUCGUAGAAAAACUAAAUUAAAAAGGAAUUAGUGCAGGUGCAAAAAUAAGUGAACCCCAAGUUGCAUUGGUUAAAUCAAGUAGGUAAGUAGAUUCAGGUGGGUAAAUAAUUGGGUACAAAAUGAACCAAUCAAAGGAGAGAUUGUUAGGAAAGAGUUUGGGUGGGACUCUGAUAAGUAGAGAUAAGAAACGUGGUCAGUUUGGUGUUACCCAUCCAGGUGAAUACAAACCACACCAUGCCGAGAGGAAAGGAGAUCUCAGAGGACAUCAGUCUGGGGAAGGCUAUACAAUCAUCUCAAAUGUAUUUGAGCUCCAUGAGUCCACUGUGAGGCAAAUCAUUUACAAAUAGAGAGCAUUUAACAUGACAGCAACUCGGCUUAGAAGUGGACGCCCUUUCAAAAUAUCCCCAAGAGCCACAAGAACAAUAGUAAAUCAGAGACCACCUUAUCCCAACAGUAAAGCAUGGUGGUGUGAAUGUCAAGAUCUGGAGCUGCUUUUCCUCCUCUGGACCUGGAUGACUCCACAUCAUUAAAGGGAACCAUGAAUUCUGAGGUAUACCAGGAGAUUCUUGAACAGAAUGUCAGGCCAUCAGUAAAGGAGCUAAAGCUGGGCCGAAAAUUGAUCUUCCAACAAGACAAUGACCCAAAGUAUUGAAGCAAAUCUACCAAAGAAGGGCUCAGGAGAAGGACGAUUUGUGUUUUCGGUUGGCCAAGUCAAAGUCCUGACCUAAAUCCAGUCUAGAUGCUGUGGCAGGACCUGAAGCGGGCAGUUCAUGCCAGACACCCCUCAAACUUCACACAAUUGGCUGAGUUCUGUAAGGAGGAGUGGGCAAAAAUCCCUCAAAACAGAUGUCAGAGACUGAAUACUGGCUAUAGGAGACGUUUACUCCAAGUUAUCGCUGCUAAUGGAGGUGUCACAAGCUAUUGACUGAAGGGGUUCACAUAUUUGUGCAAACAUCAAAUCUGAGUUUCUGUUAAAUAAACCACUUUGGUUAAAUAAACAAUGAAAAUAUAUAUAUAUUUUUUGUUUCUGUCAUUAAAGGAUUUUAUGUUUAUUUUAAUAUUCUAUAGCAAAAUAAUUACCAGCCCUGUAGGUUUCACAUACUUUCAAGCAGCACUGUAAAUUGUCAGUAGAAACUAUGUUUGUUUAAGCAAGUCAGCCACAUCAGCUUUUGUUUUAAGGCAGUAAAUGAGGCUGAAUGAACUGUUUCACUGCCAGACUGUUUCACUGCUCUGCUGAUAGCCAGGUGUAGUGAUGGUAAGGUGUUGUGACUGAUGUUGGAACAGGUUUAUGGCCCUAACAGUUUGUUGGCACCAUUUGUCACUGUUAUAGUGCAAUUAAUUUAUUGAUUUGUGUAGUGUAGUGGCUUUGCUGGCAUGCAUCCUAAUUAUAAUUUUUUUGUUUGACCAACCAAGAUUUACAUGCUAAAAUCGCCACUGAUUCCAAGACAGUUUAGGUGUGUUAGUGUUAGGUGAACAAUAAUCUAAUUGUGACUAGGCCAAUUAGUGAAUUGUCUCAAAUCUACUGCGAAACUAUAGCCUACCAUUGAUUGCUGGACUACGAGUGCACACUGAAAAGGGAGGAUAGCUUCUAAAGCUCCAACCAAUAUUUCAGGGACUUCAUCUCAGACACAGGAAGAGCUCAUUAUAGAAUACCCAGUAGCUGGAAAAAUGUACUAAAUAAGCCUCUCAGAUUCUAUUGUUGUUGGAACAUGUUUUCUUAUUCUCAUUUUGUUUAAACUUCUCUCUUAGAGAAAUGCACAAGCCUGAGCUUAAUAGUAAUUUCUCAUCUCCAGAGGGACAAAGACAAUAACAAUGUUGAAAUAUAAUAACCGUAUGUGCCGGAUAAUCUAAUUUGUCUCUUCUACGUCUUUCCCUGAAGGAUGGCCCUGUAUGGUUUUGGACUGGGAAUAGAAGACUAGAGAUAUUCUCCGCUUGUCCCAUUCAGAUGAUGUCACGUCGAGGUCAUGUGACUCUCUCGGGUCUCAUUCUGGCUCACAGGAGUUUGGCUGAAUUGAUACCGACAGGCCGGUUUCCUGGUCAAUUCAAUGCUAAUGUAUUCCCAUUCAACGCCCUCCAUCGCCUUUGUUUCCCUCAACCCCUCCACCCCUCCCUCUGUCCACCCUCCUAAAUUCUUUCCCAUUCGCCAUUGUCUGUUUUCAGUGCCGUUUGCCAUGUCCAUGACCGUGAGAGCCAGUGUUGUACUGAUUUGGCCAUUAGUGAGGUCUUCAGUAAUGGGGCAGCAAGUGCCUGUUUAACCUUUCAUGGCAUGCUUAGGCCUAUAAAAUAUGUGCUUUUAAUAUUUUUCGUAAAGCUGAUAAACUACAGGGCUACAACUUAAAUGUCUUUGGAAGGGAACUGAAUGCGUCUUCCGUAUUUAACCCAACCCCUCUGAAUCAGAGUGGUGCGGGGGUCUGCUGUAAUUGACAUCCUUGUCUUCAGUGCCCUGGGAACAGUGGGUUAACUGCCUUGCUCAGGGGCAGAACGACACAUUUUUACCUUGUCAGCUCGGGGAUUCGAUCAAGCAAUCUUUCAGUUACUGGCCCAACACUCUAACCACUAGGCUACCUGCCGCCCCAGUGUACCGUGCAUUGUGUAAUACAUAUACUACCGUUCAAAAGUUUGGGGUCACUUAGAAAUGUUCUUGUUUUAGAAAGAAAAGCAAUUUUUUUUGUCCAUUAAAAUAACAUCAAAUUGAUCAGAAAUACAGUGUAGACAUUGUUAAUGUUGUAAAUGACUAUUGUAUCCCGGAGUCGCAUCUUCACUGUUGACGUUGAGAUUGGUGUUUUGCGGGUACUAUUGACAACAUUAACAAUGUCUACACUGUAUUUCUUAUCAAUUCGAUGUUAUUUUGAUGGAGAAAAUUAUGUGCUUUUCUUUCAAAAACAAGGACAUUUCUAAGUGACCCCAAACUUUUGAACAGUAGUGUAGGUGCAUAUGAUAUCAGAUUUAACUAAUGGAGCUAGUGAGCUGAAGAGAGGUUGUGUCAAUAAUUGAUUGCUUUUCAAUUAGAUUAUGAGUGCAGUGUCAGCCUGAAACUUUCUGUCAUGGCAUAUGCUAUCUGAUCCAACACCUUCUCAAAAACGUUCUCUUUGUGUAGCCACACAUUCACAUGAUGCCCAAUGUAAUUCAUACAUUCAGUAUUUCCAUAUAUUGUGCUACCACAUAGUUGAGCGCGACUUUUGACGGCAGGUAGCUUAGUGAUUUUAAGGGCUUUGGGCCAGUAACCGAAAGGUCGUUGGUUAGAGUCCCUGAGUCGACUAGGUGAAACAUCUGUCUGUGCCCUUGAGCAAAGCUCCUGUAAGUCGCUCAGGAUAAGAGCGUUUGCUAAAUGACUAAAAUGUAAAGGUUGUAACUCACUGAAUGCACUCAACCACUUUUUAACAUGAUCAUUUAUAACCCAAAUAAUGUUGUUCUUUCUGGUAUUGGAAGUCAGUAUUUGCAUUAUAUAAAAGUUGUAUCUACACUACAUUCUAUCAACAUUACAGAAUGUUCUCAUGGAGUUGUAAUGAACUGAAUGUCAGUGGAUAAAUGAAGGCUUUGGACACAGCUAUAGUAAUAGAACCGUAGCCAGGAGACUGGUCCGUCUGGGACCAAAGUCUGGAGGACCUCGCAGUGUGUGGUGAAGUUCGGGGUCACAUGUUGCACAAUUGGAGUCUUUACAAAACAAGAACCAUGGAAACCAAAGGGUUAGGGUGUAAUUUGUCACUGUCAUGUCAGUAGAUUUAGUUAAAUCUGUAUGGACACAGAGGAGUGUGGGGGAAAUAUGGCUAUAGCUUUAUACAGUAUGAUAAUCCUCCUCGUCGCUUAAAUCUAUCCAUGUGAGUUUAGACCGAGACCCCCGAGAGUGUUGAAAUAAUGCUGAAAUUGACAUUUAUCCUCUGGCCCUUGGAGAUAUUCUCAUUUUAAUCCGUUCUGAUAUAGUGUCUGACGGUUUUAGGAUUUGUCUCGUUGUCAAUCAUCUCUGAAGCAAUACUCUCAGUCCAACCAAGGAGUGUGAAUCUGUGUAGCAUAAUGUAUGUCUAUCCCCCAAAAGCCACCCUAUUCCUUACACAUAGUGCACUACUUUUGACCAGAGGUCAAUGAGCCCAUGGUGAAAAGUAGUGCACUAUAUA